UUUGUUUACAGCUUAAAGAUUACUUUGUAUAAUAUUAGGUAAUUAUUUCUAAAACUGUUUAGUAUCAAAAAAUACUUUUAGUAAAAUAAGCCUAGAUGUUUAGUUGAAUUUAGAGAUUGUUCAACCACAUACGGGUAUGAAAACUACCCUAUCUUUUUGACAGCAGUGAGGAAUUUUGGACAAUAUGCGAAAGCAUGAUCCAGCGAACUAAUGGAAAUGAAGAAGAUAGCGAUAUUGUAAAGUUUAGUGCGAGAAUUAACAAAUGAGUAAAUUCUAAGAGAAGCUCUGGCUAAUACAUGUGCCAGCAGCCGCGGUAAUACAUGAGGAGCAAGCGUUACCCAUAUUGACUGGGUGUAUUAAAUACAUAGGUGAUUACAAUUACUACUCUAAAAGUCAAUUAAAAACCGAAUACAGUAGUUUUUUUGUAAAUGAUUAUUAAAUAUAAGAAAAGGAGAUUUAUAGAACAACGAUUAAAUGUAGUUACACUAUAGAGCUUGCCAUAAACUAAGGUGCUUUUCUAUAUUUAAUUAUAGCUGAUGUAUGAAAGUACGGGUAUCGAUAAGGAUUAGUUUCCCUAGUAGUCCGUACUGUAAAAGAUGAAUACUUCAUGAAUUAAAAAUUCAGGGAUAGCUAACGCAAAGUAUUCUACUCGGGGAGUAUAAUCGCAAGAUUAAAACUUAACUGAAUUGGCGGGAAUUUGUUCGAACGGUGGAACAUGUGGUUUAAUGCGAUAAUCCACGCAAAAUCUUACCAACGUUUCAGGCUUUAUCAGUAGUAUGGUUAAUACCAAAAAUAUAUGAUUUAGUACGGAAUUGCAUGGCUGUCGUCAGUUCGUGCUGUGAAGUUUAGGAUUAAGUUCUUUUUAACGAAUGCAACCCUAUAAGUAAGUUUUUAUUUUAAAAUAAUAAAUUUUUUUUAAUAUACUUAUUUAAUCUAUAAUUAGAAUAUGUUGAAUCUUUUCAACUUAUUCUUUUAUAGGGGUUAUAGGCUGAAGUCAAGUCCCUAUGGUCUUUAUACGUUGGGCUACACACGUGUUACAAGGGUAAAAACAAAAAGACGCAAAAAAGUAAUUUUGAGCAAACCUUUAAAAAUUACCUUAGUUCAGAUUGUUUUAUGAAAUUCUAAAACAUGAAGAUGAAAUCGUUAGUAAUUGUAAAUUAUUAUGUUACAGUGAAACAAUAGUCAAAUUUUGCACACACCGCCCAUCACGCUCGGAAAGUCAAUAAUAGCGGAAGAUUUGAAAAACUCUGCGCAAAAUUAAUAUAUUAUUUUUAUAUUAAUUGUAUUUGUAUUAUUUUUUAAUGGCAUGGUUGAAAAGUAGUAUCCAAUCUAGUAUUGGUAAUUUGAGUGAAGUUGACACAAGGUACUGGUAGGGGAACCUGUUGGUGGAAUAUAUUU
rnacentral:rRNA from 1 species